ACGUGUCUGGUUGGGAGGCAGUGUAAUGUUAGCUGAUGUUUCUUUACCAGCUCACUUUGCUCUGCUACCCAAACAGAGACAUU